ensembl:lncRNA
GUCCUGCGUGCUGCACAACAACAUUGAAUAUUCAGUAUUUAUUGCUGUUUACACUUAGCUAGAUUAAUGCGAUGGUGUUGUGUUUAGUAUGUUGCUUUGGGGUUUUUUUUGCUUGUUUUCUAUUCUUCUCUCAACAGGUGAUCCAGGAGAUUUUUUUUUCUCCCCCCCUUUCUCACUGUUCCUCUUCUCUUCUGUUUUUCUUUUCCUUCCUCUUUCUUUCUCCCUUUCCUAUCCCUCACUCAUGUCUGCCCCGUCUGUAACAUCUGAAAAUAAAAUAUAAUAAACAAUAAAAACAAAGGUGGAUCAAAUGGACCAAUACGGCAAUGCCACGAUGAUCCAUUUGGCAAAGUAAAUCCAUUGGGUAUCCUUGUUGGUCUUCAGACAACAAUUCUGAUGGCUAAAGAACCAAAUGGGACAGGCAAAAAAAAAACAAAAAAAACUUACAGAUAGCAUGAAGAGCUCAGCCACUGAAAAGCUGCUGGUCCUCUGCACCAAAAAGAACAAGCUAAAAUUAUUUGGGAAUGGGACUAAGAUGCCUUCUGGACAGGUGAGGCAUUUUAGACACGUCCAGGGUCAACACGUUCUCACUCCCAAAGCAUGACAUUUUACACUAGGUGACAAAUCGUCAAUAUAUUACACCUCGGGAGUGAGAACGGGCUGCCAGGGCAGGAUGGAUGGAUAGAUACUACGUUUAUUUUCAUGAUCUACACUUUCUGUAUUAGCAGCUAUAAUUGUUGUGUGCUUUAGAAAGCACAGACUAUUUCUCCAGUGGUUAAAUGGUAGAUACUCAAAUUAUGCACACCUGCAGGCAGUAUUUGGCUUUCCAUCACAAAAUGUGUGGAGCUAGAUCAGCACGAUAUCCUGAGCGCUUAUGUCCAACAAUAAAUUGUCAGUCCAAAGUACUUCAUGAGUGUUAAUGCAUAGAAUCAUCAUUAUUGUAGAACCACCAACAAUCUGAUUAAUAGUUCUACUGUUCAUGUGGCUUUCAAGCCCUGCUUAGCAUGAUAAAACCAACCACUGAGAACCCCUCCAGCUAUAAACAGAUCCACACCAUUUAUAACAAUAGAUUGUAAGUGGUUACUAUGAUUACUGCCCUUAAAAUUAUUAAUCCUCUUUUGUGUGUAUACAUA